rnacentral:rRNA from 1 species
GGAUCAUUACAAGUGACCCCGGUCUAACCACCGGGAUGUUCAUAACCCUUUGUUGUCCGACUCUGUUGCCUCCGGGGCGACCCUGCCUUCGGGCGGGGGCUCCGGGUGGACACUUCAAACUCUUGCGUAACUUUGCAGUCUGAGUAAACUUAAUUAAUAAAUUAAAACUUUUAACAACGGAUCUCUUGGUUCUGGCAUCGAUGAAGAACGCAGCGAAAUGCGAUAAGUAAUGUGAAUUGCAGAAUUCAGUGAAUCAUCGAAUCUUUGAACGCACAUUGCGCCCCCUGGUAUUCCGGGGGGCAUGCCUGUUCGAGCGUCAUUUCACCACUCAAGCCUCGCUUGGUAUUGGGCAACGCGGUCCGCCGCGUGCCUCAAAUCGACCGGCUGGGUCUUCUGUCCCCUAAGCGUUGUGGAAACUAUUCGCUAAAGGGUGUUCGGGAGGCUACGCCGUAAAACAACCCCAUUUCUAAGGUUGACCUC